UUGCCUGGGAAGACAAGUACAUCUCUCACCUACCUGUAGAGCAGGUGAGGGUUUAUCUGAGUGCUACUGCAGUUGCUCUGACGGUUUUCAUGUUUCCUGUGGAAGCCAUCCUGUCUAACAUACAUUGCUCCUGGCUCUUUUGUUUCUACCUUUCCUCUCUCUCCUCCUGCCCAUUCCCCCAUCAGAAUAAUCUUAGCAAUACAAUGUCUCUUUCUAGCUAAAGUACAGGUGCCAAGAGCAAGAGUUGAACAAGAUAAUUUUAGACAUCAAAAGUGAGAGAAUCCCAGAAUUUAUCUUGUUCACAUUCAUAUUUACCUUUUUUUUUCAUGUCUCUAACAUUACUUCAAGAAGUGUCCACCCUCCUAAGAUCUAGAAGUCUGUCUUGUUAUAACCCAGUUGGUAAUGUUUGAUAAAUGAAUGAGUGAGUGAAUGAAUGAAUGAAUGAAUGAAACUGAAGUCAUUCUUGAACUUCUACCAAAGAUGCUGGAUAAAUUGCUCUAUACAUAUGAUACCACCCUCCAAUAGCACAUAGCAACAGAAACUGAAGGUGUGUUCAUUUUGAAAGUUAGUCCUCAAAAAAGAUGCCCUAAAGGUCACACUGAUUCUACAGAGUCUUUAAGGGGGAGAGUAGUUAGCAUUCUUUUUCCUUUCCUUUUCCUUUAUUCUGAUCUUGCAUCAGGCUGACUUAGCUUCCAGGUGGCUCCCUGAUGGGGCAAAGGGUAUGAAGCUGGUGUGCUAUAAAUUAUAGUGAUUACAACAUGACAGCAAGCCCCCAGCUGAGGCCUGGAACUCCCUGCUAGGAGAGCACUCAAGGACAUUCAGUCUCCUGAAGGUUUAGGAACUCAAACGGCUUUGCCUACUCCCAGAGCUUUUUAACUUCUAUAAUUCUGACACUUGUUGGAUGCAUUUUAUCUCCCAAUCCGUUUAAUUAGGAGACAUCAGAUUAAAAAUGAUCUAAUGCUUCUGAAAGGCACUUGAACUCCAAGACACACUUACAAAACUGUGAUCUUUCCUUGUCUCUCAUUCCAUCCCUCCAGCACCCAUGAUGGACAGUGUGAAGAAACGGGGUCUUGUGAAACACCAGUGGCCAAAGAAAGAAAAAAGGACAGUGCAGUAGAGCUCACGCAGGAAGCAGUGUGGCCGGUGUCAGACACAACCCUUUCCAAUAGCCAGGAUGAGAAUGUGUAUGCCUUUAUUUCCCAUCAGCAUCUCUUGCUUCUGGGUUUUUCUUUUGUAAAAAGAAAGAACAGCUGUUUAACUGGCUCUGAGAUCAGAAAUAGCAAAAGGUGGACUGGGUAUAGGCUAAAACUGAAGCAUACAUGAAGUUAGGCAGCGAGAAGCGAGAAGGGAGAAGGCAUAGCACACACUAGAGUCUCUCGUGGUCCAGAUUCUGUCAAUACCCAUCCAUUUUCAAGGAUACAGUUUUUUUUGUUGUUUUUUGUUUUUUGUUUGUUUUUCGAGACAGGGUUUUUUUGUGCAGCUCUGGCUGUCCUGGAACUCACUUUGUAGGCCAGGCUGGCCUCGAACUCAGAAAUCCGCCUGCCUCUGCAUCCCAAGUNAAAAAAAAAAAAAAAAAAAAAAAAACCUUGGCCACCGAAGAUCAGUAAUUCCAAAGCUACCAAGGUAAGAGCUAUAAAAUUGAUCCUUUCCAUGGGGACAGCCACAAAUGAGCUGUUUUCUGAAUAAAUUCUCUCAGCAAUAGCAAGCAGGGAGGCCACUCAGGACAGCCCGCAACGCUGGAUCUCACCUUCCAAGCUUUUUGGGACAGGAAGAGGAGUUUAGAGAGAGAGAUGGGGGAAAGCUAUUUGCAAAGUAGUGUUUAUUAUACUAUACCACAAUGCUUUAAAUUUUCAGAUAAAAAGAGCCUGCUUGGCUAAUGAUCAAUAGAUAUGACUAGGAAGAUCAAAUGGAUUGGAGGCAGCCCUGUAAGGUCAGAUGAAUGGAGCAAUUUCUACAGCAUCUUUGGUAGAAGUCCAAGAAUGACUUCAGUUUCAUUCAUCCAUCCAUUCAUUCACUCACUCAUUCAUUCAUCAAAUAGGUCAGAUCAGAUGUAUUGGAGGCAGCCCUAUAAGAUACUAGCAGAGACUAAACAGGUUUUAACUGCAGAUAUUGCUAUUAUGUGUUUGUAUGUUUAUUAUUAAAAUUUCAUUACUCUUUUCUUCCUUGGUUUAAGAAAAGUAAAGUAGACAUCCCAUGGGAUUUGACUUUGUUUUGUUUGUCAUCUCCAUUGAGCCCAUUCAAAUCUGUCUUGGGUCCAUUGAACUCCAGGAAGAGGCUGUGAGAAUGGAAAUAUAUUAAAAGCAACACCCUUAUCUAACUAUAAAGGGCUUUUCCAACUCUAUGUCCUUCCACAUUGCGUACAUGGGACCCUAGCAUGGAGUUAGCUGUGUACUUUCAAUUUCUGGAUAGAAAUUGUUAUACAAAUGAGCUGUAAGAUCUCUGAUACCCAGCAACUUAGUCUACUAGUGGGUGGUUCAAAUCUCAGAAUAAAUAAUUUUAAUAAAUUGUGG
ensembl:lincRNA Gm29325 predicted gene 29325